rnacentral:misc_RNA from 1 species
GAUGAAGAACGUAGCGAAAUGCGAUAAGUAAUGUGAAUUGCAGAAUUCAGUGAAUCAUCGAAUCUUUGAACGCACCUUGCACUCCUUGGUAUUCCGAGGAGUACGCCUGUUCGAGUGUUAUGAAGCUCUCAAAACGCAAUUGGCUUAAAACCUGAUUGUUGUUUUGGAUUUGAACUUUGCCGUGUUAUAACGGCUGGUUUUAAAAGUAUUAGCUGGUACUAGAACGAAUUGGUUCUACUCAACGUGAUAAUUAUCUGAUCGUUGAGGACAUUCCUUUCACGAGGAAUGGCCAUAGUAAAUUCAAUGGACUGCUUCUAAUCUGUCUUUAAUUCUUUAUUGGAUUAACCACUUUUCAAAUCUGACCUCGAAUCAGGUGGGACUACCCGCUGAACUUAAGCAUAUCAAUAAGCGGAGGA